rnacentral:rRNA from 1 species
AGAAUCAACGCUGGCGGCGUGCCUAACACAUGCAAGUCGAACGAGAAAGUGGGAGCAAUCCCACGAGUAAAGUGGCGCACGGGUGAGUAACACGUGACUAACCUACCCUUGAGUGGGGGAUAACCUAGGGAAACCUGGGCUAAUACCGCAUAAUACCUACGGGUCAAAGGAGCAAUUCGCUUAAGGAGGGGGUCGCGGCAGAUUAGUUAGUUGGCGGGGUAAUGGCCCACCAAGACAGUGAUCUGUAUCCGGCCUGAGAGGGCGCACGGACACACUGGAACUGAAACACGGUCCAGACUCCUACGGGAGGCAGCAGUGGGGAAUUUUGCGCAAUGGGGGAAACCCUGACGCAGCAACGCCGCGUGGAGGAUGAAGCCCCUUGGGGCGUAAACUCCUUUCGAUCGGGAAGAUAAUGACGGUACCGGAAGAAGAAGCCCCGGCUAACUUCGUGCCAGCAGCCGC